rnacentral:tRNA from 1 species
AGUCCCGUAGCUCAGUAGGUUAGAGCACUACACUGAUAAUGUAGGGGUCAGCAGUUCAAGUCUGCUCGGGACUACCA